GGGCCGGUAACUCAAUGGCAGAGUGGCGCUCUUAUACAGCGUAUGUUGGGGGUUCAAGUCCCUCCCGGCCCA
rnacentral:tRNA from 1 species